rnacentral:rRNA from 1 species
AACGAACGCUGGCGGCAGGCUUAACACAUGCAAGUCGAACGCAUCCUUCGGGGUGAGUGGCAGACGGGUGAGUAACGCGUGGGAACGUGCCCUUCAGUUCGGAAUAACCCAGGGAAGCUUGGGCUAAUACCGGAUACGUGCGAGAGCAGAAAGAUUUAUCGCUGAAGGAUCGGCCCGCGUCUGAUUAGCUAGUUGGUGAGGUAAUGGCUCACCAAGGCGACGAUCAGUAGCUGGUCUGAGAGGAUGAUCAGCCACAUUGGGACUGAGACACGGCCCAAGCUCCUACGGGAGGCAGCAGUGGGGAAUAUUGGACAAUGGGCGCAAGCCUGAUCCAGCCAUGCCGCGUGAGUGAUGAAGGCCUUAGGGUUGUAAAGCUCUUUCAGUGGGGACGAUAAUGACGGUACCCGCAGAAGAAGCCCCGGCUAACUUCGUGCCAGCCGCCGCGGUAA